rnacentral:rRNA from 1 species
CAGCCGUAAACUAUGCGCGUUAGGUGUACUGGUGACCACGAGUCACCGGGGUGCCGAAGGGAAACCGUGAAACGUGCCGCCUGGGAAGUACGGUCGCAAGGCUGAAACUUAAAGGAAUUGGCGGGGGAGCACCACAACAGGUGGAGCCCGCGGUUUAAUUGGACUCAACGCCGGGAAGCUCACCGGAUAGGACAGCAGAAUGAUUGCCGGGCUGAAGACCCUGCAUGACUAGCUGAGAGGAGGUGCAUGGCGUCAGUGACU